rnacentral:rRNA from 1 species
AUUGAACGCUGGCGGCAUGCUUUACACAUGCAAGUCGAACGGUAACAGGGAGCUUGCUCCGCUGACGAGUGGCGAACGGGUGAGUAAUGCGUCGGAACGUGCCGAGUAGUGGGGGAUAACGCAUCGAAAGGUGUGCUAAUACCGCAUACGAACUGAGGUUGAAAGUGGGGGACCUUCGGGCCUCACGCUAUUCGAGCGGCCGACGUCUGAUUAGCUAGUUGGUGAGGUAAAGGCUCACCAAGGCGACGAUCAGUAGCGGGUCUGAGAGGAUGAUCCGCCACACUGGGACUGAGACACGGCCCAGACUCCUACGGGAGGCAGCAGUGGGGAAUUUUGGACAAUGGGGGCGACCCUGAUCCAGCCAUUCCGCGUGAGUGAAGAAGGCCUUCGGGUUGUAAAGCUCUUUCGGCAGGAACGAAACGGCGAGCUCUAACAUAGCUUGCUAAUGACGGUACCUGAAGAAGAAGCACCGGCUAACUACGUGCCAGCCGCCGCCGUAAUAC